UUAACAUAUAACUUUGAGAGUAAGGAGGUAUAUAAAAUAAUUGAUUAAUGCGGAAGUUACAGGUAUUUCUCCGUCUUUUUAGAGAUUCUAAGUUUAACAUUUUUAAAAUAUUUUCGUAUCCAGAGUGGAAGGUCCUUGGGAUAUUAGAUUUAAAACAUAUAUAUCGGUCCUCAAUAUAAAUUCCUUUGACUUUGUAUUGUACUUUUUCAAGUUGGUCACAAUGGCUAAUUAUGUUAGUAUCCCACCAAAUUAUAGAAACAUAUUCAAGUGUUAAAUUCGGAACAGUUUUGUUUUAUUGUACCAAAGACAGGUAAUGCUUUAUUUUUAAUGGCUAAUAUGUGUUAAAUAACAGUUUCGCGUCAAAUGAAUGCCCAAGUCUUUUACCACAUAUGCACGUACUAAAAUUAGUAUCUGAAAUAGAAUAAUUAAAGUUCAAUGGUUUAUGUUUUUUAGAAAAUGUUAUAAUUUGGCAUUUAUCAAUGUUAAGUGAAAGGCCGUUUGAAGAACACCAUUCAUUAAAACUAAUUAGAUCUUUUUGCAAAAGUAGAUUAUCAUCUAAGGAUAAUAUUGGUUUAUGAAUUUUCGCAUCAUUGGCAAAUAAAAGAAUAUUAGAAUUUGAGAUGGAAAACGUCACAUCAUUAGUAAAUAAGUUGAAAAGGAGAGAAGAAAUAUGAUCACCUUGAGGAACACCUGAAGUUACAUUUAUCUGAUAUAAAGCGUUUGUAUUUAACUAAUUGUGUUUGGUGAUAUAAAAAUAAGUUAAUCUAUGACAAAAGUGGAUUGGC